CAGCCGCCGCGGGAAUACGAAGGGGGCUAGCGUUGUUCGGAUUUACUGGGCGUAAAGCGCACGUAGGCGGAUCGAUCAGUCAGGGGUGAAAUCCCAGAGCUCAACUCUGGAACUGCCUUUGAUACUGUCGAUCUGGAGUAUGGAAGAGGUGAGUGGAAUUCCGAGUGUAGAGGUGAAAUUCGUAGAUAUUCGGAGGAACACCAGUGGCGAAGGCGGCUCACUGGUCCAUUACUGACGCUGAGGUGCGAAAGCGUGGGGAGCAAACAGGAUUAGAGACCCCCGUAGUCCCUGUCUCUUAUAC
rnacentral:rRNA from 1 species